UAUCAAUAAGCGGAGGAAAAGAAACUAACAAGGAUUCCCCUAGUAACUGCGAGUGAAGCGGGAAAAGCUCAAAUUUAAAAUCUGGCGGUCUUUUGCCGUCCGAGUUGUAAUCUAGAGAAGUAAUGCCCGUGCUGGACCGUGUAUAAGUCUCCUGGGAUGGGGCGUCAUAGAGGGUGAGAAUCCCGUCUUUGACACGGACUACCAGUGCAUUGUGGUAUGCUCUCAAAGAGUCGAGUUGUUUGGGAAUGCAGCUCAAAAUGGGUGGUAAAUUCCAUCUAAAGCUAAAUAUUGGCGAGAGACCGAUAGCGAACAAGUACCGUGAGGGAAAGAUGAAAAGAACUUUGGAAAGAGAGUUAAACAGUACGUGAAAUUGCUGAAAGGGAAACGCUUGAAGUCAGUCGCGUUGGCCAGGGAUCAGCCUUGCUUUUGCAUGGUGUAUUUUCUGGUUAACGGGUCAGCAUCAAUUUUGACCACUGGAAAAGGGCCUGGGGAAUGUGGCAGCUUAGGCUGUGUUAUAGCCCCUGGUCGCAUACAGUGGUUGGGAUUGAGGAAUUCAGCACGCCGCAAGGCCGGGUUUCGACCACGUUCGUGCUUAGGAUGCUGGCAUAAUGGCUUUAAGCGACCCGUCUUGAAACACGGACCAAGGAGUCUAACAUGCCUGCGAGUAUUUGGGUGGAAAACCCGAGUGCGCAAUGAAAGUGAAAGUUGAGAUCCCUGUCGUGGGGAGCAUCGACGCCCGGACCAGAACUUUUGGGACGGAUCCGCGGUGGAGCAUGUAUGUUGGGACCCGAAAGAUGGUGAACUAUGCCUGAAUAGGGUGAAGCCAGAGGAAACUCUGGUGGAGGCUCGUAGCGAUUCUGACGUGCAAAUCGAUCGUCAAAUUUGGGUAUAGGGGCGAAAGACUAAUCGAACCAUCUAGUAGCUGGUCCUG
rnacentral:rRNA from 1 species